rnacentral:rRNA from 1 species
CUUACCGGGUCCGGACACACUGAGGAUUGACAGGUAUUAUAUAGCGCGCUUGCGCGUCUAUUGUUAAAUAUGCUAGUCCUUUCAUGAUUAUGUGAUAGGUGGUGCAUGGCCGUUCUUAGUUCGUGGAGUGAUCUGUCUGCUUAAUUGCGUUUCAGAUAAGGAUCUAUAUUCUUUACAGAAGUGUUGCGUUGUGCGCAUUUGACCCCUCGUUCGCGAGUGCGUGUCUUUUCGCGCUCGCACGCUUUUUACAUUAGGUCCUGAAAGCAACGAACGUGACCGCAACCUCUUGUUGCCUCAUCUCCCUACUUUUUUAGCACUUCGGUGUUAAUAAUUUCAUUGAGGCUUUCCAAAACUAGAGGGACCGCUGUCAACUUCUUAAACCAGAGGAAGGUUGCGGCAAUAACAGGUCUGUGAUGCCCUUAGAUGUUCCGGGCUGCACACGUGCUACAAUGAUUGUUGCAGUGAGCAUCUCAAUUUUUUACC